AGGGCACCCAGUGGCCGCUGCCAGGCUGAGCUAUGGAGCCAGAGCAGCUGGAAACGGCCUCCCGUGGGCCGAGUUAGGCGAGAGAGCCUGGUGGUGAAACCGACCUGGGGCCCAGCCCUAUGGAGCUCACAGUCUGGUGGGGAAGUCUAUGAAACAAGUGUACAGUCACCAAUUGUGAUAAGCUCAAAAGAGAGAGGUAAGGUCGUGGUUACUUGGAAAGAGGUCAAACAAACUUUCUGAAUGGCAAUCAAACCUUAUCAACAGUCACCACCUGUCAUUGUCAACAUUUAUCAAUGAAUGAGUGUGCCUGUUUAUUGCCUGGAAUGUUAUGAAAACCAGCCUCACUGAACCUUGACCCAACAUACCGUGUUUCAUUUCUGCAAAGUUAGUAAUCAGUAAUGCAACUGGUGGCCCUUGAUUAAUCCAUUGAGUCAUAUUUAAUUUGCUUUUAUGAACUCUUGGGCUUUGGAGAAAUGCCUGCAUUCUGUUCCAGUUAGCCAUCAUAGUACCCUGGGGAUCCCAACCCUGCAAUACCAGAGUGAUUUACCCAGGAUGCCUGCCUCUCACAUCUUUUAUUUUCUGUCUUAUCUCCGUUUUGGCGUUUGGAAAGAUGAUUUUUGCAACUCGGUAAUUAUAUAGUGUUUUGCUUAGGAAAGAAA
ensembl:lncRNA novel transcript, antisense to AP1M1